rnacentral:lncRNA from 1 species
AUGCCAAAAUAUAACUGCACUAUGACUCAGAGACUCAAAACAACCAGCUAUGAUAAUGGCCUUGGUAUCUGAUGUAGACCUCUGAUGAACUUCACGUGCCUACGUUAUCUACAACCUGCGUGAGGUAAAAACCAACACGCUGAGCUAAUGCUCAGUGGGUGAUAACAACAAAUAACAGAAUAAAACAAACAAGCUCGCAUAAAGAGAUAAGCAAGUAAACAAUUACAAGCUAGUAGAUGUAAACAUGUUAACAUUCACCAAUAAGUUUGCAAAAUCAAGUAUCAAUCGUAAUUAAGAUCUUAGCCCUUAUAACCAGAUAGUAGGAUCGACUAGGUAGAUAAGGAGUUAUAACGGUAGGCACAGGGUACCGAACGGUAGGCUCAGAGGCCAAAACUGUGAUAGCAAGGCUCUGUGGCCAUGCUUAUGAGGUACCAGAUAUGUAACCUCUAAUAUAGAUCAUAUAUCGGUAGCAGUACUGCGAACUCUGUAUGUUUAUAUUGCAUGCCAUACCCUUAAGCUAACCUCGACUCCAAUUACGUUUACCAGGGCCAAGUAUCAUUAACUCAAUGUAUCAAUGUAAAUGCACGUCAUUUGAAGCUAUUUAAUUUCUUUUUCCAAAGUACAUAUAUCAUAUGCCAAGGUUUACAAUAUGGAAAACUCAUGGCAAAUAGUGCAAAACUUUAUUGACUUAGCAUUUCAAUAUAGAAAACUACAUUCUGCCAUAUAUUAUAUAAACUUUUCAAGCAGUUUAGAGUUACAAUUUGACUUCAGUUUCUUCAUAAGAAAUGUACAUUUAUGUCUUAUCUUUCCAACAAGGUAUGGUUCAUGCAAAUCUGAUCAUCCUAGCUUAAGUUAUGAAUUUUUCUUUACAAACUGCUCAAUAAGGUCUUAAUCAGUCCAGUAUUGGUACUUGUUUAUAGUAUCACAAAACUUAUCAGAUUCAUGCAUUUCCAUACAAAUUCAAGCUUAAGUGUCUUCUAAACAGUUUUAGGUAUACUUCUUAAGAUUCAUUUGGCACUGGUCUUAACAAAUUUCACUGAGUAUGUAAUUAGUUAUGGUAUAAUCAAUAGACUCUGUUCCGGAUGCACUACCACUGUGUCCAGUUUAGGUUCACUUGCAAUGUUCAUCAUUUUAACUACAGAUUCAGAAUUUUGUCAAUUCAUGAAAGUUUUAGAUAUUUAUCUUAGCUUUCAUUUGGUAUAUCUUCGUCCUAAUUUCAAUAUAUACACAAUAAGUUAUGAAGUUAGAAACACAAGCUGUCCUGUUACAACCUAUUCUGCCAGAUUUACACUGUUAGCUCCCAUGUUAAAUUUCUUUACUCUAAGCCUUUCAAACAUCAUUUUAACAUUCAUAUAACAUAUUUAUACAAUCAAAGCAACAUUUUCAGCAAGUAAAAUCAACCCCUAAUUUCACUUAUUCAUGGCAGAAUCAAAGGAAAACAGAAAAUCAUUAAAACACCAAACCUUUCUUGAAUUCUUCUUUUCUUUUCCUCUUCUAAUCUCUAGCUCUCUCCUUUCCCUUUGAUGUUCCUUCACCUAUGCCAAUUUAUAUCUUAGGGAAGGAUUGAAGAAAUUGUAAAGUAAAGCUUUAUACUUCACAUUCAUGCAUGAAGAAAUGAGAUGAUGCUAUUUCCUACUCAUUUCUAAGCUCACCUUUGAUUUUCAAGCUUGGUGCAUAUGGAACCCUAAACUUUUCUUCUUCAAUUCUUUCACUAUAUGGCUGUUCCUUUAGCUCUUGAUCUUAGGAUGAAUUUUGGUUAAAGGAAGAAGUUGUUUUGGUAAGGUUUUGGCUUGGCUUUGGUGGGAGAAAGAAAAGCAAAU